rnacentral:rRNA from 1 species
CCGGAGAGAAAUCGAGUCCGAACAGGGCGACAGUCGCUGGGUGUAGACCCGAAACCAAGUGAUCUACCCAUGGCCAGGAUGAAGGUGCGGUAACACGCCCUGGAGGUCCGAACCCACUAAUGUUGAAAAAUUAGGGGAUGAGCUGUGGGUAGGGGUGAAAGGCUAAACAAACUUGGAAAUAGCUGGUUCUCUCCGAAAACUAUUUAGGUAGUGCCUCAAGUAUCACCACCGGGGGUAGAGCACUGUUAUGGCUAGGGGGUCAUUGCGACUUACCAAACCAUUGCAAACUCCGAAUACCGGUGAGUGCGAGCUUGGGAGACAGACAUCGGGUG